GAUGAACGCUGGCGGCGUGCCUAAUACAUGCAAGUCGAGCGAACGGACGAGAAGCUUGCUUCUCUGAUGUUAGCGGCGGACGGGUGAGUAACACGUGGAUAACCUACCUAUAAGACUGGGAUAACUUCGGGAAACCGGAGCUAAUACCGGAUAAUAUUUUGAACCGCAUGGUUCAAAAGUGAAAGACGGUCUUGCUGUCACUUAUAGAUGGAUCCGCGCUGCAUUAGCUAGUUGGUAAGGUAACGGCUUACCAAGGCAACGAUGCAUAGCCGACCUGAGAGGGUGAUCAGCCACACUGGAACUGAGACACGGUACAGACUCCUACGGGAAGCAGCAGUAGGGAAUCUUGCGCAAUGGGCGAAAGCCUGACGGAGCAACGCCGCGUGAGUGAUGAAGGUCUUAGGAUCGUAAAACGCUGUUAUUAGGGAAGAACAUAUGUGUAAGUAACUGUGAACAAAUUGACGGUACCUAAUCAGAAAGCCACGGCUAACUACGUG
rnacentral:rRNA from 1 species